rnacentral:tRNA from 1 species
GCGCGAUUAGCUCAGCUGGAUAGAGCGCUGCCCUCCGAAGGCAGAGGUCACAGGUUCGAAUCUUGUAUCGCGCACCA